UGAGUUGGGUACCUUAAUAUAGCGCCUUAUGAACUCUUUUUUUUUUUUUUUUAUUCUAUUUCUUUUUUCUCUUGGAAUAUAAAUUAUUAAUUUUUAAGUCUUUAAUAGUGUAGAUGAUGAAAUUAGUAUUUAAUCAAUUUAAAAUAUGAAAUUUAUGAUAAUUAUGAAGAGAAGACAAAUUUCAUAAAGGACCCUUUUAAUGUGAAAUUCUAGCUCCGCCACUGCAUAUUUUAUUCGUACUUUUCCAAUUCUGUAUUUUACUAUAACUAUGGUGGGUAGAUCAAGACCAUUGGACAACAUGUGUGUCCCAUUCACUCACAGUCACAGCAAUGGUCUGAUGGUCGCAUAAUGAAUCGCUGACUAGAUAAAUAGCGAGUUAAACCCCAUUGUUCUGUUCUAUGCUUUAAAUAACAGGUGAAGAUAUGUCUUGCAGAUUCCAGACAACCAAUUCUCUUUGUAUCAUUUGACGUUUACCAACUUUAAUUACUCAAAUCCCUUUGUCAUUUUCGUAUCCUAAAGAAAUUUUGUCUUGCUUUAGAUUUGGGUUUUGUCUGCCUAAACCGCUUUGCUUUUGUUUUUGACAAUACUAAGCAUGAUA
rnacentral:lncRNA from 1 species